CAGUAGCCGCGGUAAUACGAAGGGGGCUAGCGUUGCUCGGAAUCACUGGGCGUAAAGGGCGCGUAGGCGGCCGAUCAAGUCAGAGGUGAAAGCCCAAGGCUCAAUCUUGAAAUUGCCUUUGAUACUGUUCGGCUAGAAACCGGAAGAGGUUAGUGGAACUGCGAGUGUAGAGGUGAAAUUCGUAGACAUUCGCAAGAACACCAGUGGCGAAGGCGGCUAACUGGUCCGGUUCUGACGCUGAGGCGCGAAAGCGUGGGGAGCAAACAGGAUUAGAUACCCGAGUAGUCCCUGUCUCUUAUAC
rnacentral:rRNA from 1 species